rnacentral:rRNA from 1 species
CCAGACUCCUACGGGAGGCAGCAGUGGGGAAUAUUGGACAAUGGGGGGAACCCUGAUCCAGCGACGCCGCGUGAGUGAAGAAGUAUUUCGGUAUGUAAAGCUCUAUCAGCAGGGAAGAAAUAGCGACCUUUGGGUCGCCAGACGGUACCUGAUUAAGAAGCCCCGGCUAACUACGUGCCAGCAGCCGCGGUAAUACGGAGGAUGCGAGCGUUAUCCGGAUUUAUUGGGUUUAAAGGGUGCGUAGGCGGACAGUCAAGUCAGCGGUAAAAAUGCGGUGCUCAACGCCGUACAGCCGUUGAAACUGGCAGUCUUGAGUGGGCGAGAAGUAUGCGGAAUGCGUGGUGUAGCGGUGAAAUGCAUAGAUAUCACGCAGAACUCCGAUUGCGAAGGCAGCAUACCGGCGCCCGACUGACGCUGAGGCACGAAAGCGUGGGUAUCGAACAGGAUUAGAUACCCGCGUA